ACGUAAACAAGUUAAUCAUUUUAUUGUAUAAUAUGUAAUAUAAAAAGAAACCUGUAUUCUUUUAAUUGUUUUAUAUCAGUGUACAACAGUUGUCUUUAGUCUGUUCCAGAUUAAAUAUUUGAAAAUGAUGGAAGUAACAUUAAAUCUAAAGGAGACGUAAAUGUGGACUAUUAAAAAAGUAAAAUAGAAUGUGAGACAUAAGAAUUUACACGAUUUAUGUUGUCUUUGUUAAUCUAAAUCUAAAACUUUUAAUGUCAAAAAAGAUAAGGAAGCUGUUGGAGAUAUGCUGUGAAGCAGCCGUGGAUAUAGUUACAAUGAGAAAAACGAAGACAAAAACGCAUUACCUUUAGCAUAUCUUAGGUUGUUGAUUGAGAUCGUCAAAGGCUUACAAAAAAAAACCCCUGCUACGCUUACCGUACAUUUAAACUUCUGCCAGAGAUCUGCAGUCUAUGUAUCAAGAACAGAAAUCAUCAAAAAUACAAUAGCCACACAGGCACUGGAUGUUGAAGAUCCACCAUAAGAAUCAUCUGAAAUCCCCAAAAGUAUAUUAUUAUAACUUCUAGUUGGUUCCCUCACACACUUACUAUAAAAUAAAUUUAAAAUCAAAAGAUAUA